GAUGAAGAACGCAGCGAAAUGCGAUAAGUAGUGUGAAUUGCAGAAUUCAGUGAAUCAUCGAAUCUUUGAACGCACAUUGCGCCCUUUGGUAUUCCUUAGGGCAUGCCUGUACGAGCGUCAUUUAAACCUUCAAGCUCAGCUUGGUGUUGGGUGACUGUCCGCUUCACCGCGGACUCGCCUCAAAAUUAUUGGCGGCCGGUACAUUGGCUUCGAGCGCAGCAGAAACGCGAACUCGGGCCCGUCGUAUUGGCUCCCAGAAGCUAUCUUCACAAUUUUGACCUCGGAUCAGGUAGGGAUACCCGCUGAACUUAAGCAUAUCAAUAAGCGGAGGA
rnacentral:misc_RNA from 1 species